AUUGAACGCUGGCGGCAUGCCUUACACAUGCAAGUCGAACGGCAGCACGGGGCAACCUGGUGGCGAGUGGCGAACGGGUGAGUAAUGCAUCGGAACGUGCCAUUGAGUGGGGGAUAACGUAGCGAAAGUUGCGCUAAUACCGCAUAUUCUGUGAGCAGGAAAGCAGGGGACCGCAAGGCCUUGCGCUCUUUGAGCGGCCGAUGUCAGAUUAGCUAGUUGGUGAGGUAACGGCUUACCAAGGCGACGAUCUGUAGCGGGUCUGAGAGGAUGAUCCGCCACACUGGAACUGAGACACGGUCCAGACUCCUACGGGAGGCAGCAGUGGGGAAUUUUGGACAAUGGGCGCAAGCCUGAUCCAGCCAUGCCGCGUGAGUGAAGAAGGCCUUCGGGUUGUUAAAGGACUCUUUCGGU
rnacentral:rRNA from 1 species